rnacentral:rRNA from 1 species
CCUACGGGGUGCAGCAGUGGGGAAUAUUGCACAAUGGGGGAAACCCUGAUGCAGCGACGCCGCGUGAGCGAUGAAGUAUUUCUGUAUGUAAAGCUCUAUCAGCAGGGAAGAAAAUGACGGUACCUGACUAAGAAGCCCCGGCUAACUACGUGCCAGCCGCCGCGGUCAUACGUAGGGGGCAAGCGUUAUCCGGAUUUACUGGGUGUAAAGGGAGCGUAGGCGGCGGUGCAAGCCAGAUGUGAAAGCCUGGGGCUCAACCCCGGGACUGCAUUUGUAACUGUGGUGCUAGAGUGUCGGAGAGGCAGGCGGAAUUCCUAGUGUAGCGGUGAAAUGCGUAGAUAUUAGGAGGAACACCAGUGGCGAAGGCGGCCUACUGGACGAUGACUGACGUUGAGGCUCGAAAGCGUGGGGAGCGAACAGGAUUAGAUACCCGAGUAGUC